rnacentral:rRNA from 1 species
AUGCAGGAGAUUUCGAGUAACCCUGACCAAUGGAUUGCUCAGAUGCUUGCGGUCCCCCGUCGAGUUCACCACCAGCCGCCCCUUCUGCGGCAUAGAAACUACGGAACUGAUAUAUUAAAUUCAGAGUUUAAUGUAGUUAGGAUUCACACCAAUUCAUAUCAAACCAUGGAUUACCAGCAGAAAAAACAGAAACAAAAAUGCAUUACCGUACACAACCUGAAAAUUGGAUACUUAAUUUUUUUUCAUAGCAGCUGUAAAGAGGCAUCCUUCCACAGUAAUCCACAUCACACCAUGGAUUACUACGGGACUGAUAGAUUAAAUGAACAGUACAAACCAACCAGCAACCACACUAAUUCAUAUCACACCAUCGAUUUCUACCGGCAAAAGAAUCAAGCAAGAAGGCAAGACCAUAGAUAG